rnacentral:rRNA from 1 species
UACGUAGGGAGCAAGCGUUGUCCGGAAUCAUUGGGCGUAAAGCGCGCGUAGGUGGCUUCGUAAGUCCGUUGUGAAAGUCAAAGGCUCAACCUUUGAAAGCCGAUGGAUACUGCGGAGCUAGAGUACGGAAGAGGCGAGUGGAAUUCCUGGUGUAGCGGUGGAAUGCGUAGAGAUCCGGAAGAACACCGGUGGCGAAGGCGGUUGGCUGGGCCACAACUGACACUGAUGCGUGACAGCGUGGGGAGCAAACAGG